UCUUGAUCUCCUGACCUCGUGAUCCACCCGCCUCAGCCUCCCAAAGUGCUGGGAUUACAGGCGUAAGCCACCGCACCCCGCAACCCCUUCCUUCUUUAACUUGGUGUCUGAGGAGUUUUGUCUGGGCUGGUCCUGCUACAUUUCUUGGUUCCCUGACCCAGAAGCGAGGUGAUUGGUGGAUGGUCAAGGCAGCUCCUUAGGCAGCUUCUUAGGCAGCUUAAGCCUGCCCUGUGGAACAUCCCUGCGGGGGACUCCGACCAGACCAGCCCAAGCGACGUGGAUCCUGAGAGCGUUCCUGGGUAGGCAUUUGCCCUGGUGGGACGCCUCGCCAGAGCAAUGUGUGGCAGGUCCCCGUGGGGGAUCAACGCAGUGGCUGAACACCAGGAAGGAAUGGGCACUUGGAGUCUGGACACCUAAAACUUGAGCAUCCCUGCAGGGGACUCUGGCCAGCUUGAGCAACACGGAUCCUAAGAGCGCUCCCGGGUAGGCAUUUGCCCCGGUUGAACACCUCACCAGAGCAGCGCACAGCAGGCCCCCGCGGAGGAUCAACGCAGUGGCUGAACACCGGGAAGGAACUGGCACUUUAAGUCUGGACAUCUGAAACUUGGUAAGACUGGUCUUUGGAACUUGCCACUCCUCUUGAGUGGAAGUGUGGCCUGAUCACCCAUGGCGUGCCUGUACCGGCACAUUGGUUUUUGUUUUUGACUUGACUUGAAUUGCUUGAUACUUUGGUUUUAGUUUUGAUUUUGACUUGACUUGAAUUGCUUGAUAAACAGACAUGCCUUUAUUGGCACUUUGGUUUUGGUUCUGAUUUUGACUUGGCUUAAAUUGCUUGAUGAACAGGUGUGCCUUUAACAACACUUUGGUUUUAGUUUUCAUUUUGAUUUAGUGUGAAUUAGAUGAGUGAGUGACCUUUUAUCCUUUCCUUCUUGUAGUGUGAAUGUUGUUUUGUCUCAAGAGAAAAAUAGGUCAGACACAAAGUAAGCCUACUCCACUAAGAACUGUGUUAAAAAAAAUUUUCAAAAAGAAAAAUAAAAGGAAAGUCAUCAAAUCAUCAAAACUUAUUCCAUUAAAAUGCAGGUUACAGAACCUUAAGAAGGGUUUUGCAGGAGAUUAUAGAGUUAAGUUAACCCCUAGAGGCUAAGAACUCUGUGUAAAUUAGAAUUGCCCUCUUUUGGUGUUGGAUGGCCCACCGAAGGAACUAUAGACAGGGAACAAUUGGCCAUGUAUUUAAGGUGGUGACAGGGGUUGGAGGACAGCCAGUGUACCUAGAUCAAAUUACUUUAUAUUGACUCAUGGUUAAAUAUAAUAUAGACAAAAUGGGCAUAAAUUUAGCCCUGUUUAACAGCUUAUUGCAAAAAAAGCCAAAAGUAAAAGUAAGAGCAGCUUCGCCAGCAGACAUGGAGUUAAAAAGGGAGUCCCAGAAACAGCAACAGAAGCCAGUUUUGCAGGAGCUGCCAGAGAUAAUAGAAAUUCUUUCUCCAUAUGUCCCAGCCUAUCCCCCUUUACCGAGGCCAACAGCCCCCUCAGAAAUGAGAUUCAGGAGCUAACAUGCCCCAGGUCUCACCUCAAAGGGGAGGAUCGGAGCCUCGAGAGGCCGAGGAAGGAAGUCAAGAUAGUCAAGUGGGCCCUCUCAGAUCUGGUCUUGCUCGAGCUAUGCAAAUGCCUCUCAGGGAGACGCGAGGACCUGUCUAUUAUAAUGACCAGGCCCACAUCUGGGGGGGCAACAGACUUUCAUCUAUCAGCCCUUUUCAACCAUUGAUCUACUAAACUGGAAAUACCCUGAACCCUCCACCUUGCUCCUGGCAGCUAGAGCCCUGUCGAGCAUAACUGUGUAGAGGUGUUGGACUCAAGUUUACUCUAGCAGACCUGACCUCCAGGACCAGCCUUGGGCAUCAGUAAACUGGGAGCUAUACGUGGACGGGAACAGCUUCAUCAACCCACAAGGAGAGAGAUGUGCAGAAUAUGCGGUGGUAACCCUGGACACUGUCGUUAAGCUGAGCUGAUUGCUUUAAUUCAGUCCUUAGAACUCAGUGAAGGUAAGACUGUAAACAUUUACACUGACUCUCGGUAUGCCUGUUUAACCCUCUAAGUGCAUGAAAAAUUAUAUUAAAAAAAGAGCCUGUUACUCUAGGAAAAAGGGGAAAAAAACCCAGAGAAUGCAACUCAGCUUCAGCGUUUGCAGAGGUACUGAGAAGCACUUCUGCAGAGGCUAAGAGUUGGUAGAAAAAAGCAAGUAAUAUAAAAAAGAUUUCAGAAAUUUUUCAAGGAGCUGACAAGAGCCUAAGUCAGUUUUAUAAGAGACUCUAUAAAGCAUUCUGGCUUUACACCCCAUUUAACCCUGAGGCCGCUGAAAAUCAGUAUAUAGUGAAUACUUCAUUUGUAAAGCAAGCCCAGGGUAACAUCAAGCAGAAGCUGCAGGCAUGAAUACCACCUAGUCUAUAAAAGUGGCCACCAAGGUGUAUGUUAACUGUGACCAAGGAACAAAACUAGGAAAGAGCAAAAGAAAAAAAAAAAAGACUGAGAGUAAGUGUGAAAAAGAGAAUCAGAAGGAAACAGGAGAGACAGACCGCAGUGCGCAGGGGCAGGGCCCGUGCUGUUGCCUGGCCCCACCAGCUGGCCGUAGGAGUAGGAUAACUCAGAAAGAAAAAAAAAAAACAAAGACUUAAGUAAAAAAGCCAAUCUGUUAGCAACAGCUCUUAUACAAAGAAAAAUUAGCAAUGUGAGAGGAUGUGGACGUGGAUGUAGACGUGAAAGAAGUCAAGUUAGGCAAGGAUUCAAGAGCCGGACAAGGCUAGAGAGAGAUUAAUGUGCGAGAUGCAAAAAGAAAGGACACUAAAACGGUAAAUAUUCAAAAGGCAAUAAAGGAAAUGGCCAAGGCCACAAGGCAAAGAGGGCCGAGGGCCGCCGCACCUUGGAGGAACAAAAUACUGACCUGAUCAGGCUGACAGGAACUAAAGAAUGUAAAGACUAGGGCAGACUAGGCACCUUCUCAUUAGGCUCCUAGGAGCCCAUGGUCACAACAAAAGUUAAAAGCAGCAGAUUCUGCUGUAUCUGGAUUCCAAUUUCUCACUGAAGGUUAAGCACUAGAUAGAGUUACAAAGUGGAGGGGGGAAGAACCCCUCCUCUAAGAAACUUAAACAGGAGAAAGAGCCAUACCUUGUGAGAACUUGCUUGUAGACUUUACAGAACUGCCCCGUGCUGGAGGCUAUCGGUACAUGCUAGUGCUUGUUUGCACCUUUUCAGGGUAAGUUAAAGUUUUCCCCACCAGGACAAAAAAAAUUACAAGAAGUAACUAAAGUACUGUUAAAAGACAUUAUCCCCAGGUUUAGACUACUUCUAACUUUAAAGUCAGACAAUAGGCCAGCAUUUGUAGUUGAAAUAGUACAAGAUUUAACAAGGCUGUUAAAAAUAAAAUGGAAGUUAAACACAACCCAUCAGCCACAAAGUUCAAGAAAAGGUGGAAAGCAUGAACUGGACACUUGAGCAGCUACUGAAAAAAAUAUUGCCAGGAAAUUCAUGUAAGAUAAAAUCAGGUUUUUGCCUAUGGUCCUCCUCCGAGUCAGGUGCACCCCCAAACAAACAAGGUAUUUGCCCUAUAAGAUUUUGUUCAGUCGGCCACCCCCAAAUCAUAGGUCAAAUUAAAGGUGACCUCCAGAAACUACAGGAAUUAACCUUAAAAAAGCAAAUGCAGGCUUUAAAAAUAGCCAUACAAAGUGUUCAUAAUUAAAUAAAUAAAAAUGCCUAUAAGCCUGACACCCCUUUAAAUCUAGUGACUCUGUUUAAAGUAAAAAAGUAAAAUCAAAUUUUUCUAGGACCCAUAUAGGAUGGACCCUAUACUGUAACCUUGUCCACUCCCACUGCUGUUAAAGUUGCAGGUGUUGUGUCUUGGAUCCAUCACAGUCAGCUAACACUGGCAGCUCAGGACAAGUGGACCAGCCAGCAGGAUGCAGAUCACCCAACCUGGCUGAUCCUGAGACGAGACCAAGCUGCUGCUGAGGACGACAGCCCUGCUCUGGUCACUCCGGAGGCUGACCAGUCUACGCACGGCCGAAGCUUGAGGACUCAUCGAGCAAGUAAAUGUAGUUAAAAAUCUUAAGACUAAUAGUUUUCCUGUAAUACUAACUGUUUUCCUAUUGUUCGGUCGCUGUAUUCAACCUUUUUCCCAGGUAAGGACCUCUUUUGUCCUUGCUGGAUACGAAUAUGCUGUACAUUGUUUUGUUGUUGUUAACCCCCAUAACCAUGUUAGAAGAAACACCUAUAUAAGGUGUCCCCACUGUACACAUACUACUUAGGAAACCCAGACCUGUCCAGCCCAGUAACAAUUCUGAGUCUUUCAGUCAUUCUUUAAACAUAUAAACCAGAAGUUACCAGAACCUCCUCCUUUAGCAAAAACAGAAAAAACCUAUUUGCUCAGCUGGCUGAAAACAUUGCUAGCUGCCUAGAUGUUUCUUCAUGUUAUGUUUAUAAAAAGGCUAACAUAAGAGACCAAUGGCCUUGAGAAGCAAAAGAGUUAAUGCCUCAAGAUAACUUUAACUAGCUCUUUCCCCAAACAGAUGCCACAAGUUCAAGCAUCUGGCUCUUAAAACUUCUAUUAUUAAAAAAUACCAUGUUACUCACUAGGAAAAAGCUUUUAAGACACAGUAAAAAGAACUAACCUGCUUAAGGCAUGACAAAGUUGGUACAUGUGCAUAUACAGGUUUAACACAGGUCUGAUCCUAGGUGUUCAUUUAGAACAUAGUUUCCAGCUGUAAGAAAAUUUAAAACCCUCAUUGUAAGUGUAUUACUAGUAAUAGGAACUUGCUUGCUGCUCCCCUGUAUAUUAUAUUUGCUCCUUCAAAUGAUAAAAGGUUUUGUAGCUACCAUGGUUCAGCAGAAAACUUCAACACAAGUAUAUUACAUAAAAUACUAUCACUCUGUCUCACAAAAAGACUCAAAAAGUAAAAAUAAAAGAACUCCCACUGAUUAGUGAAAAUUCUCAAAGGGGGAGAUAAGGAAGGAGACCACUACUACUCCUGCUGCCCUCCUCUCCCCACCUUGCCUAGUUCGCAAGACAGGAGGAGAGAAAAACAAAAAGUUGGAAAAAAAACAAAAGUAAGAUAAACAGCCAGACAACCUUGGCACCACCACCCGGCCUUAGGAGUUAAAAAAAGUAAUAAUGAUAACCUCAACCCCUGACCUAAACUACUUGUGUUGUCUGUAAAUUUCAGACACUGUAUGAAAAAAAGCAUUGUAAAACUUUUUGUUCUGUUAGCUGAUGCAUAUAGCCCCCAGUCAUGUUUCCCAUGCUUGCUUGAUGUACCACGACCCUUACACGUGGACCCCUUAAAGUUGUAAACCUUUAAAAAGGCCAAGAAUUUCUUUUUCGGGGAGCUCGGCUCUUAAGACACGAGUCUGACAAUGCUCCUGGCCGAAUAAAAACCUCUUCCUUCUUUAAUUCAGUGUCUGAGGAGUUUUGUCUGUGGCUCGUCCUGCUACAAUAAAAGGUUAAAAAGAGUCUAUAAAAUCUUACCUUAUGGUCAAACAUUAAAAAUUAGAUAAAUAUGUCUACAAGGUUUUAUUAAAAUUAAGUUUAACAUUAAUAACACACUAAUAUAAAAAUAAAAUUUAGCUUAUCUGGUAUAAAAAUCACACGAGAAGCACUGUUAAGUGUAAAAUGGUAUUUGGCUUUCUUUGGUUUAAAAAGUAAUAAACAUUUUUCUCAGUAAAAAGGCACUAAGGAAUAUAAAGUCCACUGCCAAGGUCCC
rnacentral:lncRNA from 1 species